rnacentral:rRNA from 1 species
AGAGGGUGCAAGCGUUAAUCGGAAUUACUGGGCGUAAAGGGCGUGUAGGUGGUUUGAUAAGUUGGCUGUGAAAGCCCCGGGCUUAACCUGGGAGGGUCAGCCAAAACUAUAAGACUAGAGUACGGUAGAGGGUAGUGGAAUUUCCGGUGUAGCGGUGAAAUGCGUAGAUAUCGGAAGGAACACCAGUGGCGAAGGCGACUACCUGGACUGAUACUGACACUGAGGCGCGAAAGCGUGGGGAGCGAACAGGAUUAGAUACCCUGGUAGUCCACGCCGUAAACGAUGAGAACUAGCCGUUGGGGACGUAAGUCUUUAGUGGCGCAGCUAACGCGAUAAGUUCUCCGCCUGGGGAGUACGGCCGCAAGGCUA